rnacentral:rRNA from 1 species
GGAUGAACGCUGGCGGCGUGCUUAACACAUGCAAGUCGAACGUGAGAAUAGCAAUAUUUGAAAGUGGCAAACGGGUGAGUAACACGUGGGAACCUGCCUCGAAGUGGGGGAUAACGAUUGGAAACGGUCGCUAAUACCGCACGGUUCUGCUCUGAUGGGAAUGGAGCAGAUAAAGAUUUAUCGCUUUGAGAGGGGCCCGCGGCCGAUUAGCUAGUUGGUAAGGUAAAGGCUUACCAAGGCGAUUAUCGGUAGCUGGUCUGAGAGGACGAUCAGCCACACGGGAACUGAGACACGGUCCCGACUCCUACGGGGGCAGCAGUGAGGAAUAUUGGGCAAUGGGCGAAAGCCUGACCCAGCAACGCCGCGUGGAGGAUGAAGGCUUUAGGGUUGUAAACUCCUUUUGUGGGGGAAAAGAAUGGAUGGUACCCCAAGAAUAAGUCACGGCUAACUACGUGCCAGCAGCCGCGGUAAUACGUAGGUGACAAGCGUUAUCCGGAAUUACUGG